rnacentral:rRNA from 1 species
GGCCCAGACUCCUACGGGAGGCAGCAGUGAGGAAUAUUGGUCAAUGGCCGAGAGGCUGAACCAGCCAAGUCGCGUGAGGGAAGACGGCCCUACGGGUUGUAAACCUCUUUUGUCGGGGAGCAAAGCGAGUCACGUGUGACUCAUUGAGAGUACCCGAAGAAAAAGCAUCGGCUAACUCCGUGCCAGCAGCCGCGGUAAUACGGAGGAUGCGAGCGUUAUCCGGAUUUAUUGGGUUUAAAGGGUGCGCAGGCGGCGAGUUAAGUCAGGGGUAAAAUUGGGGGGCUCAACCUCGUCGAGCCGUUGAAACUGGGUGCCUUGAGUGGGCGAGAAGUACGCGGAAUGCGUGGUGUAGCGGUGAAACGCAUAGAUAUCACGCAGAACUCCGAUUGCGAAGGCAGCAUACCGGCGCGCAACUGACGCUCAUGCACGAAAGCGUGGGUAUCGAACAGGAUUAGAUACCCCGGUAA